CCCCUAGAUGUUCUGGGCCGCACGCGCGCUACACUGAACAGUUCAACAAGUCUUAACCUUGGCCGAUAGGUCUGGGUAAUCUUUGAACGCUGUUCGUGAUUGGGAUAGACCUUUGCAAUUAUGGGUCUUCAACGGGGAAUUCCUAGUAAACGCAAGUCAUCAGCUUGCAUUGAUUACGUCCCUGCCCUUUGUACACACCGCCCGUCGCACCUACCGAUUGAAUGGUCCGGUGAAAUCUCGGGACGGCGGCUUGGUCGCUUGCGUCCGACUGCUGAAACUUGAUUAAACCAUAUCAUUUAGAGGAAGGUGAANUCGUAACA
rnacentral:rRNA from 1 species